rnacentral:rRNA from 1 species
UACGUAGGGUGCGAGCGUUGUCCGGAUUUAUUGGGCGUAAAGAGCUCGUAGGCGGUUUGUCGCGUCGGCCGUGAAAUCUCCACGCUUAACGUGGAGCGUGCGGUCGAUACGGGCAGACUUGAGUUCGGUAGGGGAGACUGGAAUUCCUGGUGUAGCGGUGAAAUGCGCAGAUAUCAGGAGGAACACCCGCGGCGAAGGCGGCCCGCUGGGCCAUCCCUGACGCUGAGGCGCGAAGGCCAGGGGAGCGAACGGG